rnacentral:rRNA from 1 species
AUUGAACGCUGGCGGCAGGCUUAACACAUGCAAGUCGAGCGAGCGGCGGACGGGUGAGUAAUGUCUGUGAAACUGCCUGAUGGAGGGGGAUAACUACUGGAAACGGUAGCUAAUACCGCAUACCAUCAGAUGUGCCCAGAUGGGAUUAGCUAGUAGGUGGGGUAAUGGCUCACCUGGGCGACGGUCCCUAGCUGGUCUGAGAGGAUGACCAGCCACACUGGAACUGAGAACCGGUCCAGACUCCUACGGGAGGCAGCAGUGGGGAAUAUUGCACAAGGGGCGCAAGCCGGAUGCAGCCAGGCCGCGUGUGUGAAGAAGGCCUUCGGGUUAUAAAGCACUUUCAGCGAGGAGGCGUUACCGACAGAGGAAGCACCGGCUAACUCCGUGCCAGCCGCCGCGGUAAUAC